AUCUAUGUCCAUACCAUCCUGAACACACCUGAUCUUGUCUGAUUUCACAAGCUAAGCAGUGUUAGCCUGGUCAGUACUUGGGUGGGAGAAAAUAUUAUGUAUUAAUA
rnacentral:rRNA from 1 species